rnacentral:rRNA from 1 species
CGCUUUUUAGAGUUUGGGACCUGGCUCAGAUUGAACGCUGGCGGCAGGCCUAACACAUGCAAGUCGAGCGGAUGAAGGGAGCUUGCUCCUGGAUUCAGCGGCGGACGGGUGAGUAAUGCCUAGGAAUCUGCCUGGUAGUGGGGGACAACGUUUCGAAAGGAACGCUAAUACCGCAUACGUCCUACGGGAGAAAGCAGGGGACCUUCGGGCCUUGCGCUAUCAGAUGAGCCUAGGUCGGAUUAGCUAGUUGGUGGGGUAAUGGCCCACCAAGGCGACGAUCCGUAGCUGGUCUGAGAGGAUGAUCAGCCACACUGGGACUGAGACACGGCCCAGACUCCUACGGGAGGCAGCAGUGGGGAAUAUUGGACAAUGGGCGAAAGCCUGAUCCAGCCAUGCCGCGUGUGUGAAGAAGGUCUUCGGAUUGUAAAGCACUUUAAGUUGGGAGGAAGGGCUGUUACCUAAUACGUGACAGUUUUGACGUUACCAACAGAAUAAGCACCGGCUAAC